rnacentral:rRNA from 1 species
CCUACGGGCGGCUGCAGUGGGGAAUAUUGGACAAUGGGGGCAACCCUGAUCCAGCCAUGCCGCGUGUGUGAAGAAGGCCCUCGGGUUGUAAAGCACUUUCAGUGAGGAAGAACGCCUGGUGGUUAAUACCCAUCAGGAAAGACAUCACUCACAGAAGAAGCACCGGCUCAACUCCGUGCCAGCAGCCGCGGUAAUACGGAGGGUGCGAGCGUUAAUCGGAAUUACUGGGCGUAAAGCGCGCGUAGGUGGCUUGAUAAGCCGGUUGUGAAAGCCCCGGGCUCAACCUGGGAACGGCAUCCGGAACUGUCAAGCUAGAGUGCAGGAGAGGAAGGUAGAAUUCCCGGUGUAGCGGUGAAAUGCGUAGAGAUCGGGAGGAAUACCAGUGGCGAAGGCGGCCUUCUGGACUGACACUGACACUGAGGUGCGAAAGCGUGGGUAGCAAACAGGAUUAGAUACCCUAGUAGUC